GUGGGAGUGUGGCUCAGUGGUAGAGCACAUGCCUAGCAUGUGCGAGGCACUGGGUUCAAUCCUCAGCACCACA
rnacentral:tRNA from 1 species